rnacentral:rRNA from 1 species
CAAUAGCGUAUAUUUAAGUUGUUGCAGUUAAAAAGCUCGUAGUUGGAUUUCGGGUGUGAACGGCCGGUCCGUCUUUGAUGUGUACUGGUUGGUUGCGCCUUAUUGUCGAGGACAUGUUCUGGCUUUCAUUAGCUGGACAUGGAGUCGGCAGCGUUACUUUGAGAAAAUUAGAGUGUUCAAAGCAGGCUAUCGCUCUGAAUACUACAGCAUGGAAUAACACGAUAGGACUCCGAGCCUAUUCUGUUGGUCUUCGGGACCGGAGUAAUGAUUAAGAGGGACAGUUGGGGGCAUUCGUAUUCCGAUGUCAGAGGUGAAAUUCUUGGAUUAUCGGAAGACGAACAUCUGCGAAAGCAUUUGCCAAGGAUGUUUUCAUUGA